ACGAACGCUGGCGGCGUGCCUCAUACAUGCAAGUAGAACGCUGAAGGAGGAGCUUGCUCUUCUGGAUGAGUUGCGAACGGGUGAGUAACGCGUAGGUAACCUGCCUGGUAGCGGGGGAUAACUAUUGGAAACGAUAGCUAAUACCGCAUAACAGUAGAUGUUGCAUGACAUUUACUUAAAAGGUGCAAUUGCAUCACUACCAGAUGGACCUGCGUUGUAUUAGCUAGUUGGUGGGGUAACGGCUCACCAAGGCGACGAUACAUAGCCGACCUGAGAGGGUGAUCGGCCACACUGGGACUGAGACACGGCCCAGACUCCUACGGGAGGCAGCAGUAGGGAAUCUUCGGCAAUGGACGGAAGUCUGACCGAGCAACGCCGCGUGAGUGAAGAAGGUUUUCGGAUCGUAAAGCUCUGUUGUAAGAGAAGAACGAGUGUGAGAGUGGAAAGUUCACACUGUGACGGUAUCUUACCAGUAAGGGACGGCUAACUACGUG
rnacentral:rRNA from 1 species